AAUUCUCAACUCCGAUUUGAUUUGUUUCUAAUCGGAGCUUGGACUUGGAGUGUGCUGGCGUCUACUAGUCGGCUCCUCUCAAAUGCAUCAGCGGAAUCUAACCUUUGGUUUCCGGACGUCGGUGUGAUAAUAAAGUUGCGCCGUCGUUUGACUUCAAAGUCCGCUUAUAAUGGUCUUCGGAUGAACUCUUAUAUCAA
rnacentral:misc_RNA from 1 species